CCACCCCCCCGCUGGACGAAGCGAAGUGGAAACCGGCGGCAAACUUCGCCCAUUAGCAGGAAACAUGAAGACAAAAAAGAGAAAGAUAUUUUUCAAAAUACAAUGCACUGUUUUGUGGACGCGCAAUAACUUAUUUUUUAUAAUGUUAAGCAUAUAUAUAUAUAUAAAUAUAUAUAUAUAUAUAUGUAUAAAGGGUCAAAACAAAAGGACUGCGAGGAAGAAGUGGACUCUGAAGCAAAGUGAAGGAGUCGAGUUUGUCGGGAUGGAGACCCUGUCUGUAAACUCGCCGUCCAAUCAGAGCGUCCAUUGCUUGAAGCCAAAAUGCAUCCAGAAACUGGAAUAUACUGUAGAAUGCAAAAAACCACACAAACACACAUAGGGGAAAAUAUAUAUGUAUAAAGAGAAAGGCUGUAUACAACAUGUCCAAAUAGACGAUAAUGGUCACAUAUUUGGGCUUAGGUACUAUUGCAGAAUACGCCGGCUUGGGCCGGUUAGAUGAGCUGACCGUGCAAUCGCGUUCCAUCUUUCACAUAAUCUGAAUUUUUUCCAUUUCAAUGGUUCUUCGUAAAGUCUGUUGAGGGGUCGACCCUCCGGCCCCGCGUAGAGACCUCAUAGAUCUUUAUUGUCCACCACCAGCACACUGUUGUAUGUCCAUACGUAGAGGCCACACACGGUACGAGAAUAUUCCCCCUCGCCGCGCUGCUCACCGGAUUUGUAGAUACCGGCUUUUACUAAUGAGUCCUCCCCUUGCUGCACCGCGUCAUUCUGUCAAAAUGUGUUUUUAAAUCCGUCAGGACCACGAAUUAAAGUCCCUCAGCAUUUUUGCCAUAGUUGUAGUCGUAGAGGAAGUGGGUUCUCAGGGAACUGUGUCGGAGCGGUCACCAGCGCACCACCACCACCACCACCACCAACACCACCACCACCACCACCACCACGGCUUAGGCAGCACCGCCCAUCCGCCUGUGUUGAAUCCGUUUGUGUCUAGAAAAAUCAUUUAAAGGGAUAACUCAAUUAAAAUCACACGUCACCGUGUUUUUAAGUAGCCAGUAGUCGUGUCUGGUGACGCCGAGGUUUUUACACGUGUCUCGAUAUCUUAACAGCGACUUCUUUUUCCAGAAAUUUGUUGGCCCGAGACGUUCGCUAACUAACGUACGAGGCCGGCCGGCCGGUUGCAGUUGUUAGGAAGCUGACCAGGAGCAUGCUAGUUAUCUGGUUUAAUGCUAGCACGAGCCAGCUACGAGCGCCAAACCAGAUUAAGCGACCAACAAAUACAAACAUACAUUUGAAAGUAUAGCUAGCUAGUAGCAUGCUAGUUAUCUGGUUUAGUGCUAGCGCGAGCCAGCUACGAGCGCCAAACCAGAUUAAGCGACCAACAAAUACAAACAUACAUUUGAAGUAUAGCUAGCUAGUAGCAUGCUAGUUAUCUGGUUUAGUGCUAGCAUGAGUCAGCUACGAGCGCCACCUAGUUGGCUAGAAAUCAAGCUAAUCAAGCUAUCAUAAAAAAAUGCAUUUUAAAAGUAGGCCUGCUAGCCAGUAGCAUGCUACAUUAGCUUGAUGACGAACAAGACAUUUCAUUUCCAUGUCAGAGUUCAUCAAAACAAACAUUUUCUUCAUCUAAUCAGCUGCUUUUCUCCCUCUCGUAGUUGCCUUGUUUUGUCCGACAACAAUUCAAAGCGGAAAAAUAUUCUAUUUCAUAAAACUAGCGUAUUGGCCAGUGUUGGUGUUUCGUCAAUCUUGCCAAUCAAUCUCGUCAAUCUCAAUCAUUUGAGUGAUGACUCAAUAAUAAAAUCCCCAAAGUAGCAAUAUAUUUGCUGUAAUCCAGUUGAUUAAAAGUCCUCUGUCAACUUUUCUGGAAAAAGAUGUCUCUGUUGAUUUUAAUUUUAUAUUUUCAUGCCGUGAGAUUGCAUCUCAACUCUGCUGCACGUGUAUUCGUGCGGAGGUUCUUAAACUCUGUCGCUGCGACGACCACGCGCUGAAACGCCGGUAAAACGUGCAAUUCUUUUUGCAAUUAGGAUUGUCCUUUUAACUCCAGUUAGUGGUACCAGUUGUAUGUACAGAAGAGACUGUUGCACGUAAAUGUAUGAUCACAAAAAAAAGGAAUUUGGGGAUAAUCAUGUUGUUCUGACUCCGUACUGUAGUCCAUUAACUGAUAUUUUGUGUUUCGGUUUGAGCCGGUUUGGUGUUCUGCUUUCUCUCGUCUUCAUGAAUGUAUUUUAUACCUGUACUGUCCCAGCUCAUUAUGCUACUGCCCACCUGUGAAGUUAGUGCACCCCCCUCUGGUCUCCCCCCUGGUUUGGUUGUUACAGCCCGAAGCCCCACAUCACAAACCCACAGCAGCAGAACGUUCCUGUUUUCGUUCAUCUUCUCAUUCUGACUCCGGAUCAAUGAGGACGUUCUUGGUUUCCUCAAGUCUGGUUUUCUUAAAGGCCUUAACAGCUGAUUCUUUUCAUGGCAUUAAUGCUGUUUGAUUUUUUAUUUUUUAGCUGUGUGGAGUUUCUGUUUUGCCACAUAUUGCCUUAUUAGAACACAUUGGGUUUGUAUGUGAUGUGCUGUUUGUAUGAUAGAACACGGAGGCUGGGGAGGAGGUUACCGUUUGGGCAUUGGGUUCAUUUGUCAGAUCACUGCUCUUUCAUGGCUGCUUUUACGCGAGCCUCUUUGUCUCUUUCCAUUCAGGUUUUACUCGUGUACAAAGUUUAAUUAUUGGUUAUUAUGUGGCCGUUCGUUCCCCACUUGUCUUAAGUAGUUUGCUUCGAAAUGUUGUGUGGCACAGAGUUUGAUCCUUUUGGCCACAUCGGAAGAUAUAAAUGUCCCGCUUGCUUGUCUCGGAGGUUGCAAGAACAACGAGACGUUUGGAGAGACAGUGUGAGGCGUUUUUAAAAAACACUUGUACUGAAAUAAACUUCCUGAAAAUCAAACCGCGCCGUCCCUUUCUUUCUCCCCGUAAAGUCAAAUAUCUAUGCAGAAAUGUUGUGCAUGAACAUUUGAACUUAAAGUUAAAGUACAGCCUCAAGUACCUCAUUGCUUUAAUACAUUUUAAAAUGUCACAAUAUAAAACCGUAAACUAAAAUCAUAAAGGCGUUAUUGUAGUACGUAUGUACUGUGUGCGCGUGUGCCAGAUGCCGCCACCAGGGGGCAGGAAGUGACCGGUCACAUCAGGUGAUCAGUCUGGUUGUUUGUUAGGACAAUAAAACAAUCACACAAAUGGGUCAAAUAGGAAAAUGUCAUAUAUAUGUAUACACAUGUUGACAUGUACACAAUUACGUAUACACAUAAAUACACAUACAUUAUUUCACAUGUCUAUAUGAAAGUAACGAUUAUGGGUUAAACUGCACACACGCAUGAACAACAACAGUCUUCCACUCUCCACAGGUCACAAGGUUGGUUCAGAGGUUCCUCACUUUCUGAUUGGCGGGGUCAAAGGUCAACCGAGUGGAGGCAGACAUCAAGAGGUCAAGAACAGGUGGACGCCCCCGUGAGUGAGUGAGUGAGUGAGUGAGUGAGUGAGUGUGUGUGUGUGUGUGUGUGUGUGUGUGUGUGUGUGUGUGUGUGUGUGUGUGACAGACACAACAACAGAGAGGAGUUGCAGCACCAGGAGGAUCCAAAGCCUCAGAGGGUCCUCAGAGAUCCGCUGAAGGACCAUCAUCAUCUUCAUCACGGUGGAGGAGGGUCAUGUGGUCACUUCCUGUCCACUACUCUCAGGGAAGAUGGUGUUUGUUUCCGUCAUGUUCCGGCUCUGCAGCCGUGACCCCCGCUGACCUGUGUUGUGACAGGUGUGUUCUCCAGCACAUCUGCACUGCAGGAAAGGGCUCUGAUUGGACCAGAGGACUUUUUCUCUCCUCAGACUCAUGUGUUCCUGUAUUUAUGUAACAUGGAGAUAUUUUCAGGCGUUAUUGGACUUUUUAAGUGGUAAGAAAACUUCGAGGAGUAAACCUUUGUAAGAUAUUGUGCAGCUUCAGAUUCAGAUUUGAACUGUUUCAAUCAUAGUUUUCAAUCUAAUUACAUUUAGCAUUCAAUAGAGAAACUUCAAAUUGAAUUACUUGUAUAGUAUAUAUAUAUAUAUAUAUAUACUAUACAUCUCCCCUUAACGAUCAUAAGGAUGGAGCACACACCACUGUAGAUCAGUGUUACUAAAAACUAGUAAUUAGUUACUUAUUUAAAGGUAAUUUAAUUACUUACCAGUUACUGUAUAUCAAAAGUAAUUAGUUACUCGACAUAAAAGUAACUUAACUUUUAAGUUACUUUUAUGUCUGCUAACUGUCUAGCUAAUACUUAACUUAAUAGAAAAUAACUGUGUCAUUCACCUGAAGGCAACUGACUCGACAGGUGACAGGAUGCAUCUCACCUUCCACAUCCAGCUGUAGCUCAGCUUUGCUUGUCAGCAUCCGCAGCGCUGUCGUCUCAACAGGUGCUUCAUAAGAUGUGGAUAUCCUCUUUGCACCUGCACAUCAUCUACAACUCACCACCACGUUUUCGUCUUUAAUUUUGACGAGCGAAAAGUAAUGUCCAUCGCCGAAAAAAGACCGGAAAUCCCACAAAUGAUCGUUUUCAGUCAAUGGGAGCUUUUGCUUCGGGACGAUUAAGGUCAUGAGCGAUGUGAGUGAAUGACGUCGUGGGAGAUCUUGCAAGGAGACCCAAUGCCGUUUACAUGCACAUACAGGGACUAUUUUUCUCUACACAACGUUUGGUGGCUACAACUAUUUACUUGCUAUUGGCCGACCCUCAAUAAUAAUUAUUACAAUAAUGCAUUACGUUGUAACGGGUCACUCCCACACUGCUGCAGGUAGAGAUGUAGGACGCAGACUCCCCAGCUGCAGACCAUCGUGUGGGUGUGAGUGUCUGUGUGCGUGUGUCUUUGUCUCUGUGUGUCCGUGUGUCAUCGUGGUGGCGUCUGACUUACACGUCUUUGUGCGUGCAGAUAUUCUCAUUUCCAUCCGCAGUGUGAGAAUACACC
ensembl:lncRNA